CUUCAUACAUCAGUAAACUCAAGUGAAAUCAGGGCCAGGUUAUAGCAGGUUCUAUACAAGCACAUAGGAAUGAAUAAUCUUAAUCUAAAAAAGGUUUGAAAAUUAAUGCCAAAUAUGCAAAGAUACGACUUAUCCACAGCUGCUGAGUGUACCUUGUCUGGAGACAGGAGAGGAAUCCAGGCCUUUGAAGACUCAAGACCUGUCCAGUGAGCUCUGCUCCCGAAACAUUGGCUGGUCUGAGUUUUUAUCACAUCUAAGGGCAGGAGCGGGAAUGGCAAGCAGGCUGCACCAGGGCCAAGAAGGUGACUUUGGAAAAAGUUCAAAAUGAGUGAAUAUUCAUUACAGCAAAAGCAGCUCUUGCUGCUUCAGGUGUCCUCAGGAACCCAGAAACUCUUGUUGAAGGUAAACCUGCUUCACUGCUGAACCACAUCUGUCUGGGGCAUCAUCAGAAGAACUCCUGACAAAUCUUUGGGGGAAGGACAAGAUAAUUAAGGAGCUGACUUUGGGAUAUGAGCUGUUAACUUGUGCACGGAGCUCAGGGGAGCAGGAGACUUGUAAAUGUCACCGUCAAACCAGAUAUUUAUUAGUUGGAGCUGGCACACUCCAACUUCCCAGUAAGUGGUGAGAAAAUAUUCCCCGUCACUUGAGACUUUAAAAACUGCAGCAGAUUGAACAUGGCCUGAAAAAAAUGUUCUCUUGAGCUGCAUGUUCUUAUAGCAAGGAGGGGAGGGAUGAGAUGAGCAGUUUUGGUCAUUCCCUCCUGAUUCUGCCCUACUUUCCUGUCACCCCUUCCAAGAGACUACUGGUUGUUUCUACAACCAAAAUUGUUUCCAGGGUGCUAUAGAGUAAGUGGGAAACUUGACUUAUACAGUAAUGAGUACUGGCCAGAGAGCAAAAUAAUGGGAACAUUUAAAAAAAAAAAUAAUAUUGACUUUUCUCUCCUCCUUGCUUACCAGCUGCAGACUGUGCCAUGAGAGAAACCAAUCACAGACUCAUUCCCAAACUGUCCAGAUGAAAAAGACCUGGAGGCUACUUUGCUUAUUGCCAUAACUCUCUGGAAUUGCUUCCUGCCAUAUAUCUGAGUACUAUAUUCAGGCUAAUUUGCCAUAACUUUCCACUAGAAACCUAUUCCAUACCCUGAUAAAUCUCAUCUCCAGCUCUUCCCGCAACUCCUAUCCAGAAGAACUCAGUUCAUGCUUUCAUUUGUCCAUUUUCAUUCUGAAUCAGAGAUGCUGCCUGAAAUAUUUAAAGGCUAAGGACCUCAGCAGGCACUGGAGAAUGCUGUCGAUGCUUUCUCUGUCAUUUUCUUUGCUCUGUGGAGGAUCUAGCAUUGUAAUAAAAAUUCCAGACAGGCAAGAAAAAUGAUCCUUAUUACUGGACAAUCUGCUACCCUUAUCUCCUGCAGAUCAAGACCUUUUUACCUAUAGCUUGGGAAAGUAUUAUUUAAAAAGUCUGAAAGGAGAAGUGCCUUCUUACAUAGUUGGCUCUACCAUGCUGAAUUAAAGAAAUAUCUUUAGAAAAUAUAGAGGACAACUUGACUUUUAAAAUAACCUUUCAGCUAUGCAGAUAUUCUCCUGGGCCAAGAGAAUGUUGAAAUGGUUCAGGCUUCAUUCUGCAGUGCAGAACCCAGCACACACUGGGGUACCCCACUUUCUGUGGGGUCAUUUCAUCACUGAAUGUGAAUUCAUCACUGAAUUUCAUCACUGAAUGGCUGUGGGGUAGUUUGUGUAAGGCUGGUGUGGCUGUGUUUGCACAAUCAUGACCUCAGAGGAGACAGUCCCAGCUGGAGGGCAGCACACCAAAAAUCACAGCACAUCCUCACCAAAAUCAUUCUCCUGGUGCUCAGCAUUCCCAGGGGUUCUAGAUAUCACCAUAUCAUCCCUUUGUGACUCAGAAAUGUUCAUAGCUGAUUCUGUAAAUGCUCAUUUAUCUGUUUCACCUUGUGCAUGACACCUCACUUAGCCCACACUGAAACUAAUGGAAAGUUUUUCUGUCCUUUAGAGGGGAACUGAAUCAAACUUAGCUGGAAGAUAAAAUGAAGUUCAGAUUCAAAGAUACUGAGGAUAAGAGCAUAAAAUUCCUUGGUUAGAAGAUAGUUUGAAAUAUCUUCUUCCAUUGAAGCAGUAAUUUUGUAUUGAAAUAAAAAUAUUUUUCCAUUCUCAUCCAGAUCUUUGAGCUCUUCAUCAGCUUAUUUUCAAAUAAUGUAGCUUUAACGUAGGUACUGAAUCCUGCUUUUACAUCUUUUAGCAAGAAUCAUUGUAAGUGUCACUAAAAUAUAAAGAAAGCCCUAUUUCUCUGAGCUUGUGGUGAUGAAGGUGUGCUGUUUUGGAAAAAAUAGCACUUUUUUUUCUGUGUAUAUUAUCACUUUUGAGCCCCCUCCUGGUUCUCUCUCUUUGUUUCACACUAGGAUGGUAUUAGUAGCCUGAAGCAAUCUCUUUGUGCCCUUUCAAUCAGAAACACUUCUUGAUUUGUGUACUUACAUAGCACAGGCCGAGCCGAAGUGAGAAUUUAUUUCCUGAAGAAAACAGAUUUAAUGUGAAAGGUGAUCCUCAGAAGUUUCACAGCUCCAGUUGCCUUGGAUAAGCACCAAGAGCAGCAGCUGCUGCUCCAAUGAGCCUCCCAUGUGUGUGAGAGCUGCAGACCAUGGGCAGGGUGGGGAGUGCUCUGUGCACAGACCCCUCUCUUCAAGGACAAUGCACUUAUUAGAAGUACAAAAAGAGGAUUAAUGUGAAAAACAUUAAACCCAGGCUUUCAGUUCCUCAUUCUGCAUUGCACUGUGGUUCAGAAAUCUGCCCAGCAGAGCCUUCAGAUCCUGCCCCUCGCUAAUUUAUCCUCCCUCUACCCACCUUUAACUUUGCAAUCCUCUG